UACGAAGGGUGCUAGCGUUGUUCGGAAUUACUGGGCGUAAAGCGCGCGUAGGCGGCUUAACAAGUCAGGGGUGAAAUCCUGGAGCUCAACUCCAGAAUUGCCUUUGAAACUGUUAAGCUUGAGUGUCGGAGGGGAUAGCGGAAUUGCUAAUGUAGAGGUGAAAAUUCGUAGAUAUUAGCAGGAACACCGGUGGCGAAGGCGGCUAUCUGGACGACAACUGACGCUGAGGCGCGAAAGCGUGGGGAGCGAUCCGG
rnacentral:rRNA from 1 species